rnacentral:lncRNA from 1 species
UGUGGACACACAGCAGAGUGUUCACAGGGGACUUCCCUUUGCUCAUUUCACCUCACACAACUUGGAGUUUGUCCCAGCUCACAGGUUCACUGUCACGUCUCCCAUCUGCAAUGGACACAUCAAAGGUCUACUUGAAUUUAAAGGCAUCCAGGAGUCCAGAGCCUCAGCGUGCAUCACCUCCAUGUCUUCCCCCAGCUUUGAUACAAGUUGGAGAAGACCAUUGUAGACUGCAGUGAAGGAGAUCCCAUGUUAUGGAACAGAGUCACAUGUCAUUAGCACCAAAAGUCACAAUUACCACAAAAGUGAGCAUCAAAACUGUCUCUUGAGUAAAAGAAGAUCCUCCUUAGAAAGUCAUUUUGACACCCUCCCUGCAACAGGAAAACUGCGGAGUCCUCAUCUCUCCAUCCCUCUGCUCCCCAGCCCCACCCACAGCCAUCACUCUGCUGGGCUGUAGAACACUGAUGGAAGCCCUUGCUCUUGACUGACACCA